AAAGACUGAGGCCAAGAGAUGUUUCUUCAGGUUAAAAAGAAAGCAUCAAAUCAUAAAACUGAAGCUAGAAGAGGCCCCGGGAGAGCUCCCAUUCACACCCGUUACCCACAAAGAAGGCAAAAGUCUGGUUGCAGUUGCCUAUCUGGAUGAGGGGCCAGCUUCGGCUGGGGUGUUUUGUUCAGCAAGCACCCCAAAGUGCUGGGAAUACAGGCGUGAGCCACUGUGCCUGGCCAAUUUGGGGCAAAUUUAAGCACCAAAUGUCAAGCAUUAUUUUUGAGGCAGACAGACAUCAAUCUUUCCCCAGGGCCAUAACCUGAUAAAUAAAAUUAAAGAGACCAUAUGUGUCCAUAUGGACACCAUGUGUGUACAAGCAAUUGGUUAGUGUAUUUUUAGGCAAAUUCUAAGCUAUACUGAUUACUACUUUUCUGAGGAUUAUUAUAUUUUAAUUUUUCCACUUUGUAGUCUUUCUGUCUUUUCUACUUGCUCUCAUUAAGCCAAUCCUCCAAUGUCAGGUUAAAAGAAAAGCUGCUUGGUGGGAGAUGGAAGACACGCAGAAAUCGUAGCCUAUCUCUUAGGCUAGGAGUUAGAUAUUACUUUGAUGGAUAUCUGAUAUUAUCCUGUUACACCCAUUAUAUGGAUGAGGAAACGGAGACCUGGAAAGUUUAAGUAGUUGUUCACUGUUCAUUGCUCACACUCCCAACACAGGGUCCUGGCUCUGGUAAGCCCCUCUGGGGAAGGUGAGGUCUUCCAUUGGCUAUCAGCCCCUGACCGUGGAGGCCAGACACCACAUCAAGAAACCUGAGCCUCAGAGACUGCAGUAGUUAGACUUCAGGUCCGCCUGCCUCUGUAUCACAUAUUUGGGCCUCAGCCAAAUCAACACAGAAAUGCACUUGAAACAUUAAACAGGACGUUCUGAAACCACGUGACUCUGUGAAACGCUCCUCGGAACCUUUAGGGAAGGGCCGAGUUUCUUUAAGAAAUGUGUAAACGACAGAGACACACACCCUUGCAUGAUGCCAGCUCUGUAAAAUUAAAACCUUGUCUGGAAUUAAAUAUAAAACUGAGUUGAACUUCAAGAUUCCUUUUAGCAAUCUAUAGUAAGGAAAAAAAACCACACCCC
rnacentral:lncRNA from 10 species